UAUAUACUCCCUCCGUCUGAAAAUAUUUGUCAUAGAAAUGGAUAAAAAUGGAUACAUCUAGAACAAAAAUACGUCUAGAUACAUCCAUCUCUCCGACGAGUAUUUCUGGAUGGAGGGAGUAUUUA
rfam:Triticum aestivum genome assembly, contig: Triticum_aestivum_CS42_TGACv1_scaffold_049748_1BS